rnacentral:lncRNA from 1 species
AAAGCGUCAAUACAGGACUUAGAUCAAAUCGUACUACACCGGCUCUGAUGAUCGUCUGAUGUGGCAGGGCUUGCAAACUAUUACAAAGGGAAGCACAGCCGCGGGCUGCCCAGUGACACGAGCCUACCAGACGAGCUACACUACUUCUAUGCUCGCGUCGAGGCAAAUAAUACUGAAACAUGCAUGAGAGCACCAGCUGUUACGGAAGACUGUGUGAUCACGCUCUCCGUGUUUUAAGCAAACCACCUUAGUCCCUAUGCCCCAAAACACUAACGUAACCUGCCUAAAUGACUACCGACCAUUAGCACUCACGUCUGUAGCCAGGAUGUGCUUUGAAAGGCUGGUUCACAUCAACACCAUUAUCCCAGAAACCCUAGACCCACUUCAAUUUGCAUGCUGCCCUAACAGAUCCACAGAUGAUGCAAUCUCUAUUGCACUCCACACUGCCCUUUCCCACCUGGACAAAAUGAACACCUAUGUGAGAAUGCUAUUCAUUGACUACAGCUCAUUGUUCAACACCAUAGUGCCCUCAAAGCUCAUCAAUAAGAUAAGGACCCUGGGACUAAACACCUCCCUCUACAACUGGAUCCUGGACUUCCUGACGGGCCGUCCCCAGGUGGUAAAGGUAGGUAAAAACACAUCCGCAACACUGAUCUUCAACAUGGGGGCCCCUCAGGGGUGCGUGCUCUGUCCCCUCCUGUACUACCUGUUCACUCAUGACUGCACGGCCAGGUACGACUCCAACACCAUCAUUAAGUUUGCCGAUAUCUCAACAGUGGUAGGCCUGAUCACCGACAAUGAUGAGACAGCCAGGACAACAACCUCUCUCUCUCUCAACGUGAUCAAGACAAAGGAGAUGAUUGUAGACUACAGGAAAAAGAGGACGGAGCACACCCCCAUUCUCAUUGACCGGGCUGUAGUGGAGCAAGUUGAGAGCUUCAAGUUCCUUGGGGUCCACAUCACCAACAAACUAACAUGGUCCAUGCACAACAAGACAGUUGUGAAGAGGGCACGACAAAACCUAUUCCCCCUCAGGAGACUGAAAAGCUUUGGCAUGGGUCCUCAGAUCCUCAAAAGGUUCUACAGCUGCACCGGUAUGGCAACUGCUCGACCUCCAACCGCAAGG